rnacentral:rRNA from 1 species
UACGUAGGGCGCAAGCGUUAUCCGGAAUUAUUGGGCGUAAAGAGCUCGUAGGCGGUUUGUCGCGUCUGCCGUGAAAGUCCGGGGCUCAACUCCGGAUCUGCGGUGGGUACGGGCAGACUAGAGUGAUGUAGGGGAGAGUGGAAUUCCUGGUGUAGCGGUGAAAUGCGCAGAUAUCAGGAGGAACACCGGUGGCGAAGGCGGGUCUCUGGGCAACAACUGACGCUGAGGAGCGAAAGCGUGGGGAGCGAACAGG